rnacentral:lncRNA from 1 species
UCCUCAUCCCACCAACCACUCUAAUCAUCUUGAAUAUGGUUGGAGUUGUAGCAGGAGUAUCCGAUGCAAUAAACAACGGAUAUGGAUCAUGGGGUCCUUUAUUUGGGAAGCUAUUUUUCGCUUUCUGGGUCAUUGUCCAUCUCUAUCCCUUCCUCAAAGGUCUGAUGGGAAGGCAAAACAGGACUCCUACAAUUGUUGUCCUCUGGUCUAUACUUCUUGCAUCUAUUUUCUCAUUGAUUUGGGUUAGAAUUGAUCCCUUCUUGCCCAAGCAAACUGGCCCAAUUCUCAAACAAUGUGGGGUGGAGUGCUAGCUAGUCAAUGCCUUUUGAAUUUUGCGGUCAGCUCCUGUUCUGUUCUGUGUUUUGAGUCUUUCACAGGUUAUCCCACUUUUGCACAGUUGUUUUUC